UAGUGAGGCCCCUCAUGGGGGGGUCCUAGUAAUCACAUAAUCACCAUUUUUUUGCCAAUAUAAUCACAUAAUCAUUAAAUAUUUGCUUAUCUUUAGUAAUCAAAUAAUCAUAAACUAAAAAUACAGUCCUAGGUAAUCAAAUAAUCAUGAAAUAUUUGGCUUAAUAAUCAAAUAAUCAUUAAAAAAACGGCCAAGUAAUCACAUAAUCAAAAACCCCAUGAGGGCCCUCAUUAGUA
rnacentral:lncRNA from 1 species